rnacentral:rRNA from 1 species
UACGUAGGGGGCAAGCGUUGUCCGGAUUUAUUGGGCGUAAAGAGCGUGUAGGCGGCUGGGUAGGUCCGUUGUGAAAACUCGAGGCUCAACCUCGAGACGCCGAUGGAAACCCUCCAGCUAGAGUCCGGAAGAGGAGAGUGGAAUUCCUGGUGUAGCGGUGAAAUGCGCAGAUAUCAGGAAGAACACCCGUGGCGAAGGCGGCUCUCUGGUACGUGACUGACGCUGAGACGCGAAAGCGUGGGGAGCAAACAGG